rnacentral:lncRNA from 1 species
CUGAAUAUCCCUCUGCCUCCACAAAGUGCUUACCGCAUUCAAUGAAUUAUGAAGCAGCCCAUGUCGUGGCAUUGACAACUGACAACUGAGAGAGCUUGCUGACUAAAAACAACAGUCUUUGAGAUGCUCACGUUUUCACGCUAUGCGUGACCUUUUCAUGAGUUAUCAUUACCCCCUUUAGCAUCAACAGUUCAUCCUGAUGUGAAUUGCAGAAAAGCAAAAAACAUCAUCCAACUAGGGAUUCAGUUAAAGCCAACAUAUAUUUUCUGGAAGCAAGUUUUUGGAAUUCUUGACCCAGGUAUCUGUGUGGAGCCUUGGUUGAUUGGUGGCCCGCAAGCAGCAGCUUUGCCACCUUUCCUUCAGCUUUAUUCGGGUGUUCGAGGGCUAAAGCCUUACCAGAGUCCUUACAAAGAGGUGGACAUAGACAGCAAGGAGAACCCUGUCCCCUGGCCUUGUCAGCU